rnacentral:rRNA from 1 species
GCUCAGAUUGAACGCUGGCGGCAUGCCUUACACAUGCAAGUCGAACGGUAACAGGUCUUCGGAUGCUGACGAGUGGCGAACGGGUGAGUAAUACAUCGGAACGUGCCCGAUCGUGGGGGAUAACGGAGCGAAAGCUUUGCUAAUACCGCAUACGAUCUACGGAUGAAAGCAGGGGACCGCAAGGCCUUGCGCGGACGGAGCGGCCGAUGGCAGAUUAGGUAGUUGGUGGGAUAAAAGCUUACCAAGCCGACGAUCUGUAGCUGGUCUGAGAGGACGACCAGCCACACUGGGACUGAGACACGGCCCAGACUCCUACGGGAGGCAGCAGUGGGGAAUUUUGGACAAUGGGCGAAAGCCUGAUCCAGCCAUGCCGCGUGCAGGAUGAAGGCCUUCGGGUUGUAAACUGCUUUUGUACGGAACGAAAAGACUCCUUCUAAUAAAGGGGGUCCAUGACGGUACCGUAAGAAUAAGCACCGGCUAACUACGUGCCAGCAGCCGCGGUAAUACGUAGGGUGCAAGCGUUAAUCGGAAUUACUGGGCGUAAAGCGUGCGCAGGCGGUUAUAUAAGACAGAUGUGAAAUCCCCGGGCUCAACCUGGGAACUGCAUUUGUGACUGUAUAGCUAGAGUACGGUAGAGGGGGAUGGAAUUCCGCGU